rnacentral:rRNA from 1 species
UACGGGGGGGGCAAGCGUUGUUCGGAAUUACGUGGGCGUAAAGGGCUCGUAGGCGGCCAACUAAGUCAGACGUGAAAUCCCGUCGGCCUUAACCGGGGAACUGCAUCUGAUACUGGAUGGCUUGAGUUCGGGAGAGGGAGUGCGGAAUUCCAGGUGUAGCGGUGAAAUGCGUAGAUAUCUGGAGGAACACCGGUGGCGAAGGCGGCAUCCUGGACCGACACGUGACGCUGAGGAGCGGAAAAGCCAGGGGAGCCAAAGCGGGGAUUAAGAAACCCCGUGUAACCGUCCGAGCAACCAACGAUCUCCUGCUACCCGUA